rnacentral:rRNA from 1 species
UACAGAGGUCUCAAGCGUUGUUCGGAUUCAUUGGGCGUAAAGGGUGUGUAGGUGGCGCCGUAAGUCGGGUGUGAAAUUUCGGAGCUUAACUUCGAAACUGCAUUCGAUACUGCCGUGCUUGAGGACUGGAGAGGAGACUGGAAUUUACGGUGUAGCGGUGAAAUGCGUAGAUAUCGUAAGGAAGACCAGUGGCGAAGGCGGGUCUCUGGACAGUUCCUGCGGUGAGGCACGAAGGUCAGGGGAGCAAACGGG